UUUGUAGAAGGUGCUUCGGGCGAGACCCCGGUCCAAGUCCCUUGGAACAGGGCGUCGCAGAGGGUGAGAAUCCCGUACGCGGCCGGUGGACGAGCCCGUGUGAAGCCCUUUCGACGAGUCGAGUUGUUUGGGAAUGCAGCUCUAAAUGGGUGGUAAAUUUCAUCUAAAGCUAAAUAUCUGCCGGAGACCGAUAGCGCACAAGUAGAGUGAUCGAAAGAUGAAAAGCACUUUGAAAAGAGAGUCAAACAGUACGUGAAAUUGUUGAAAGGGAAGCGCUUGCAACCAGACUCGUUCGCGGGUGCUCAGCCGUCCCUCGGGGCGGUGCAUUCUCCCGCGUUUCGGGCCAGCAUCGGUUCUGGCGGCUGGAUAAAGGCCUCGGGAACGUAACUCUCUUCGGGGAGUAUUAUAGCCCGGGGUGCAAUGCGGCCAGCCGGGACCGAGGACCGCGCGUUUGCUAGGAUGCUGGCGUAAUGGUUGUUAGCGACCCGUCUUGAAACACGGA
rnacentral:rRNA from 1 species